rnacentral:rRNA from 1 species
GUCCUGGUGAUUCAUAGUAACCGAACGGAUCGCAGUUGGCUUCGGCCCGCGAUGGAUCUUUCAAGUUUCUGACCUAUCAGCUUUCGACGGUAGGGUAUUGGCCUACCGUGGCAGUGACGGGUAACGGGGAAUUAGGGUUCGAUUCCGGAGAGGGAGCCUGAGAAACGGCUACCACAUCUAAGGAAGGCAGCAGGCGCGCAAAUUACCCAAUGAAAACAGUUUCGAGGUAGUGACGAGAAAUAACAAUACAGGGCAUUUUAUGCUCUGUAAUUGGAAUGAUGGGAAUGUAAAACCCUUUCAGAGUAACAAUUGGAGGGCAAGUCUGGUGCCAGCAGCCGCGGUAAUUCCAGCUCCAAUAGUGUAUAUUAGAGUUGUUGCAGUUAAAAAGCUCGUAGUUGGAUUUCUGUCGUGGUCAUCCGGUUCCGCCUGUAUGGGUGUGCACCUGGUUUGCCCUCGGCUUUCUUCCGGUAGCCUUCCGCGCUUCACUGCGUGUGUUGGUGUUCCGGAACUUUUACUUUGAGAAAAAUAGAGUGUUUCAAGCAGGCUUGUCGCCCUGAAUACUUCAGCAUGGAAUAAUAA